AUUGAACGCUGGCGGCAGGCCUAACACAUGCAAGUCGAGCGGAUGAGAGGAGCUUGCUUCUCGAUUCAGCGGCGGACGGGUGAGUAAUGCCUAGGAAUCUGCCUGGUAGUGGGGGACAACGUUUCGAAAGGAACGCUAAUACCGCAUACGUCCUACGGGAGAAAGCAGGGGACCUUCGGGCCUUGCGCUAUCAGAUGAGCCUAGGUCGGAUUAGCUAGUUGGUGAGGUAAUGGCUCACCAAGGCGACGAUCCGUAACUGGUCUGAGAGGAGGAUCAGUCACACUGGAACUGAGACACGGUCCAGACUCCUACGGGAGGCAGCAGUGGGGAAUAUUGGACAAUGGGCGAAAGCCUGAUCCAGCCAUGCCGCGUGUGUGAAGAAGGUCUUCGGAUUGUAAAGCACUUUAAGUUGGGAGGAAGGGUUGUAGAUUAAUACUCCGCAAUUUUGACGUUACCGACAGAAUAAGCACCGGCUAACUCUGUGCCAGCCGCCGCGGUAACAC
rnacentral:rRNA from 1 species